rnacentral:rRNA from 1 species
UACAGAGGUCUCGAGCGUUAGGCGGAAUCACUGGGCUUAAAGCGUGUGUAGGUGGAUGCCUAAGUACCUUGUGAAAUCCCACGGCUUAACCGUGGAACUGCUUGGUAUACUGGGUGUCUUGAGUCACUCAGGGGCGAGCGGAACAAAUGGUGGAGCGGUGAAAUGCGUAGAUAUCAUUUGGAACGCCAAUGGUGAAAACAGCUCGCUGGGGGUGCACUGACACUGAGACACGAAGCCAGGGGAGCGAACGGG